UGGGGAAUAUUGCACAAUGGGCGCAAGCCUGAUGCAGCAACGCCGCGUGAGGGGACGACGGCCUUCGGGUUGUAAACCUCUUUUAGUAGGGAAGAAGCGAAAGUGACGGUACCUGCAGAAAAAGCACCGGCUAACUACGUGCCAGCAGCCGCGGUAAUACGUAGGGUGCAAGCGUUGUCCGGAAUUAUUGGGGCGUAAAGAGCUCGUAGGCGGUUUGUCGCGUCUGCUGUGAAAAACCCGAGGCUCAACCAUCGGGGCCUGCAGUGGGGUACGGGCAGACUAGAGUGCGGUAGGGGAGAAUGGAAUUCCUGGUGUAGCGGUGGAAUGCGCAGAUAUCAGGAGGAACACCGAUGGCGAAGGCAGUUCUCUGGGCCGUAACUGACGCUGAGGAGCGAAAGCGUGGGGAGCGAACAGGAUUAGAUACCCUGGUAGUCCACGCCGUAAACGUUGGGCGCUAGAUGU
rnacentral:rRNA from 1 species